GACGAACGCUGGCGGCGUGCUUAACACAUGCAAGUCGAACGGAAAGGCCCUGCUUUUGUGGGGUGCUCGAGUGGCGAACGGGUGAGUAACACGUGAGUAACCUGCCCUUGACUUUGGGAUAACUUCAGGAAACUGGGGCUAAUACCGGAUAGGAGCUCCUGCUGCAUGGUGGGGGUUGGAAAGUUUCGGCGGUUGGGGAUGGACUCGCGGGUUAUCAGCUUGUUGGUGGGGUAGUGGCUUACCAAGGCUUUGACGGGUAGCCGGCCUGGGAGGGUGACCGGCCACCUUGGGACUGAGAUACGGCCCAGACUCCUACGGGAGGCAGCAGUGGGGAAUAUUGCACAAUGGGCGGAAGCCUGAUGCAGCAACGCCGCGUGCGGGAUGACGGCCUUCGGGUUGUAAACCGCUUUCGCCUGUGACGAAGCGUGAGUGACGGUAAUGGGUAAAGAAGCACCGGCUAACUACGUG
rnacentral:rRNA from 1 species